rnacentral:rRNA from 1 species
UUUUACAAUGGAGAGUUUGAUCCUGGCUCAGGAUGAACGCUAGCUACAGGCUUAACACAUGCAAGUCGAGGGGAAACGAUAUUGGAAGCUUGCUUCCGAUGGGCGUCGACCGGCGCACGGGUGAGUAACGCGUAUCCAACCUGCCCACCACUUGGGAAUAACCUUGCGAAAGUAAGACUAAUACCCAAUGAUAUCUCUAGAAGACAUCUGAAAGAGAUUAAAGAUUUAUCGGUGAUGGAUGGGGAUGCGUCUGAUUAGC